GACGAACGCUGGCGGCGUGCUUAACACAUGCAAGUCGAGCGAGGACAUUUAGCAAUAGAUGUUCUAGCGGCGGACGGGUGAGUAACGCGUGAGCAAUCUGUCCCAGACAGGGGGAUAACAGAUGGAAACAUCUGCUAAUACCGCAUAAGACCACGGUUUCACAUGGGAUCGGGGUAAAAGGCGAAAGCCGGUUUGGGGUGAGCUCGCGUCCGAUUAGCUGGUUGGCGGGGUAACGGCCCACCAAGGCGACGAUCGGUAGCCGACCUGAGAGGGUGAUCGGCCACACUGGAACUGAGAGACGGUCCAGACUCCUACGGGAGGCAGCAGUGGGGAAUAUUGGGCAAUGGGGGAAACCCUGACCCAGCAACGCCGCGUGAGGGAAGAAGGUUUUCGGAUUGUAAACCUCUGUCCUUGGUGAAGAAAGAGAUGACGGUAGCCAAGGAGGAAGCCCCGGCUAACUACGUG
rnacentral:rRNA from 1 species